AAUCUUGCAACUGCAUUUCCCAAUCCAAAAAUAAAAGAAUAGAAACAGCACAAUUUGUGUUUUGGUUACUCCUCCUCCUUCUCUCCGACAAGUCGCCUGGUCCGUUCUGGGACCUACCCAGCGUAGUCUUCAACGGAAUCGUGAAGCCCAUUCAAACCCUGGAAAUCAUAAAACGAUUAGGGCUUGGAAUUUUUCAUUUAUUUUCUGCAANNNNNUUUCACCUUUUAAUUCAUGUACUCUUCUUUUGUCUUUUUAUUUUGUUUCAAUAAAAUUUUCAGUAAUUGCGUAUUUUUAAUAAAAUUUACUUUAAGCCACUGACUGCUGCUGAGUAAUCUAUUAGCUGAGAAAAUAGCAUCGCAACCUGUGGGGAUAAGGCUUGCCUGAUCGGAACUCCACGUUGUCUUUGCCUCGUAACGAGUCUAUUGAAUGAUUAAUAACUUUUAUUCAUUUAGGUUGUUGAAUGUUAGUUUUUUUGUCCUUUCACAGCUGUAGGACAUUAUCUCCAUACGGUCGUUAAACUUGUCGAGAGAGCUGGAUUCAAACUGAAGGUAAAUUUUAAAUUUGAACAGAAUACUAUGGGAAUAUGAAAAGAGAUAAUUGGAAUCAUAGCUUUAGGAACAUUAUAUAAAAUACUGUGGUCUUGAGCUGUAAGAAUAUUACAUUAUAUUUAAUGAGGGAGAAGGCGGCAUGGUUGAUUGGUUUUGAGAGAA
rnacentral:lncRNA from 1 species